GGGACCAUGCAGGGCCUGAAGCAGGACCCUAAAAGGCGAGAGAGAGCAAGCGGGAGCCCUCCUUUCUGUCCCUUCCCCGCAGGCACCACUCGCCACAAGUAGACACCACGGGUUUUCUUUUUUCCUCCCUCUCCCUGGCUGUGUCUUAGCCAGUGACUUGGAAGCUCAAGCUUGGCUCUUAGUAUGCGGCAGCCCUUCCCUACACUUCCAAGUGGGAUGAUCUACAUGAAAAAUUAAUCGUAUUUUCUUUUUUUUUUCAAGUGGAGAAAUUAUUUAGGGCUUUGGGGAAGAUGGGGCGGCUAUUUGCUAUGCAGUGGCUCAUCCCCUUAGCCAUCACCCCUGCCAUGUUCAGCAAAUGAUUCUUCUAUUCUCUUCCUGGCAGGUGGUCUCGCAGCUACAUGUGUUCGGCGCAUCCAGCCGGGUGCUCCGGGGAGCGCGACGUGGCGAGGACUGCUGUUUCUAAUUACUGCAGAAUCAGGAGGCAAAGGCGAGAAGCACUGCCAGCCUGAGUGCAGAGUGGGGAGAACUUUGCCUCCAGCUUGAUGUCUAAUUGAAGAA
ensembl:lncRNA